ACUGAUUAUGGAAGGCACCCAGAUUACCAUAAAAAGUUAGAUGUGGAGCAACUAGCAAAUUUUGUUCGUAGUUGGUCUGGUAUCAAUGUUUCAAUAUUUAAAUCGGUAAGAGCACUUUUAUAUACUUUAUAGCAAAAAAAAUAUAUUGCAUCUAAUAUGUAGCCUAUUUCAGAUCCAUAUUCCAGUACAAACCAUGGAUGAAUUCAUUCUAUUCACAUUGGACCAAGAUACCAGAAUAGUGUACAUUUUGGACCCUACUCCUAUUAAUCCAAUGUACCGAUACAACCCACUCGCAAAAUAUAUGAAAAAAAUUAUAUGGAUUUCCGAACACUUACAAAAAGCAAUGUCAAAAGCAUGCCCUGGGUCUAGAUGGAACGAGGAUAUUCGCCUAUGGCAACAUAAAAUCCUAGAUGAUAUUCCAGUUUACAACAGGGAAUUGUCUGGUUAUCUUGUUCCCCUAUUCAUGUCCACAUGGGAAGACGAAAGACCACAUUUGCCAUUUUUAAAGGAUGGAUAUGAACUCAGAAAACUAAUUUUGGGCCAAGUGCUAACAUUCAAGGACAAUGAAUGUGAAGAUAACAUGCCUACUGGUGUACUGGAAUUCAUCAAUUGUAUUAGGAAAAUCCAAAGUAAAACUGGUAUGUCAAAUA